rnacentral:rRNA from 1 species
UACGUAGGGUGCGAGCGUUGUCCGGAAUUAUUGGGCGUAAAGAGCUUGUAGGUGGUUUGUCGCGUCUGCUGUGAAAAUCCCGAGGCUCAACCUCGGACUUGCAGUGGGUACGGGCAGACUAGAGUGUGGUAGGGGAGACUGGAAUCCUGGUGUAGCGGUGGAAUGCGCAGAUAUCAGGAGGAACACCGAUGGCGAAGGCAGGUCUCUGGGCCACUACUG